AGUGAACGCUGGCGGUAGGCCUAACACAUGCAAGUCGAACGGCAGCACAGUAAUAGCUUGCUCUUACGGGUGGCGAGUGGCGGACGGGUGAGGAAUACAUCGGAAUCUACUUUUUCGUGGGGGAUAACGUAGGGAAACUUACGCUAAUACCGCAUACGACCUACGGGUGAAAGCAGGGGAUCUUCGGACCUUGCGCGAUUGAAUGAGCCGAUGUCGGAUUAGCUAGUUGGCGGGGUAAAGGCCCACCAAGGCGACGAUCCGUAGCUGGUCUGAGAGGAUGGUCAGCCACACUGGAACUGAGACACGGUCCAGACUCCUACGGGAGGCAGCAGUGGGGAAUAUUGGACAAUGGGCGCAAGCCUGAUCCAGCCAUACCGCGUGGGUGAAGAAGGCCUUCGGGUUGUAAAGCCCUUUUGUUGGGAAAGAAAAGCAGCAGGUUAAUACCCCGCUGUUCUGACGGUACCCAAAGAAUAAGCACCGGCUAACUUCGUG
rnacentral:rRNA from 1 species